CCUACGGGAGGCAGCAGUGAGGAAUAUUGGUCAAUGGUCGGGAGACUGAACCAGCCAAGCCGCGUGAGGGAGGAAGGUACAGAGUAUCGUAAACCUCUUUUGUCAGGGAACAAAGGCGGGGACGUGUCCCCGGAUGAGUGUACCUGAAGAAAAAGCAUCGGCUAACUCCGUGCCAGCAGCCGCGGUAAUACGGAGGAUGCGAGCGUUAUCCGGAUUUAUUGGGUUUAAAGGGUGCGCAGGCGGUCUGUUAAGUCAGCGGUCAAAGCCCGGGGCUCAACCCGGGCCCGCCGUUGAAACUGGCAGUCGCGAGUUGGAGAGAAGUAUGCGGAAUGCGCGGUGUAGCGGUGAAAUGCAUAGAUAUCGCGCAGAACUCCGAUUGCGAAGGCAGCAUGCCGGCUCCACACUGACGCUGAGGCACGAAAGCGUGGGUAUCGAACAGGAUUAGAUACCCGUGUAGUC
rnacentral:rRNA from 1 species